UACGUAGGGUGCAAGCGUCGUCCGGAAUUAUUGGGCGUAAAGAGCUCGUAGGCGGUUUGUUGCGUCGGCUGUGAAAUCCCGAGGCUCAACCUCGGGUCUGCAGUCGAUACGAGCAAACUAGAGUGUUGCAGGGGAGACUGGAAUUCCUGGUGUAGCGGUGAAAUGCGCAGAUAUCAGGAGGAACACCGGUGGCGAAGGCGGGUCUCUGGGCAACAACUGACGCUGAGGAGCGAAAGCGUGGGGAGCGAACAGG
rnacentral:rRNA from 1 species